GCAGUGGUAGCUCAGUGGUUAAAAUGUCGGACUACUGAUCAGACGGUUGUGAUUUCGAAUCUCAGCACUGCC